rnacentral:rRNA from 1 species
GAUGAACGCUAGCGGCAGGCUUAACACAUGCGAGUCGCACGGUUUAUGGUUUCGGCCAUAUGCAGUGGCGGACGGGUGAGUAACGCGUAGGCAUCUAUCCUAGGGUGGGGGAUAACGGCGGGAAACUGCUGCUAAUACCGCAUGAAACCUGAGGGUCAAAGGCGCAAGUCGCCUUGGGAGGAGCCUGCGUCUGAUUAGCUUGUUGGUGGGGUAAAGGCCUACCAAGGCGAUGAUCGGUAGCUGGUCUGAGAGGAUGAUCAGCCACAUUGGGACUGAGACACGGCCCAAACUCCUACGGGAGGCAGCAGUGGGGAAUAUUGGACAAUGGGCGCAAGCCUGAUCCAGCAAUGCCGCGUGUGUGAAGAAGGUUUUCGG